UGGGGAAUAUUGCACAAUGGGGGAAACCCUGAUGCAGCGACGCCGCGUGAAGGAAGAAGUAUCUCGGUAUGUAAACUUCUAUCAGCAGGGAAGAAAAUGACGGUACCUGACUAAGAAGCCCCGGCUAACUACGUGCCAGCAGCCGCGGUAAUACGUAGGGGGCAAGCGUUAUCCGGAUUUACUGGGUGUAAAGGGAGCGUAGACGGAGCAGCAAGUCUGAUGUGAAAGGCGGGGGCUCAACCCCGCAGCUCGCAUUGGAAACUGUUGAUCUUGAGUACCGGAGAGGUAAGCGGAAUUCCUAGUGUAGCGGUGAAAUGCGUAGAUAUUAGGAGGAACACCAGUGGCGAAGGCGGCUUACUGGACGGUAACUGACGUUGAGGCUCGAAAGCGUGGGGAGCAAACAGGAUUAGAUACC
rnacentral:rRNA from 1 species